rnacentral:rRNA from 1 species
UACAGAGGUCUCAAGCGUUGUUCGGAUUCAUUGGGCGUAAAGGGUGUGUAGGUGGCGCCGUAAGUCGGGUGUGAAAUUUCGGAGCUUAACUCCGAAACUGCAUUCGAUACUGCGGUGCUUGAGGACUGGAGAGGAGACUGGAAUUCAUGGUGUAGCAGUGAAAUGCGUAGAGAUCCGGAAGAACACCGGAGGCGAAGGCGGCUUGCUGGGCUUGGUCUGACGCUGAGGCGCGAAAGCGUGGGGAGCGAACAGG